UACGAAGGGUGCAAGCGUUGUUCGGAUUUACUGGGCGUAAAGGGAGCGUAGGCGGACUUUUAAGUGAGAUGUGAAAUACUCGGGCUCAACUUGAGUGCUGCAUUUCAAACUGGAAGUCUAGAGUGCAGGAGAGGAGAAUGGAAUUCCUAGUGUAGCGGUGAAAUGCGUAGAGAUUAGGAAGAACACCAGUGGCGAAGGCGAUUCUCUGGACUGUAACUGACGCUGAGGCUCGAAAGCGUGGGGAGCAAACAGG
rnacentral:rRNA from 1 species